UACGUAGGGGGCAAGCGUUGUCCGGAAUCAUUGGGCGUAAAGAGCGUGUAGGCGGCUUGGUAAGUCCGCUGUGAAAGUCCAGGGCUCAACCCUGGAAUGCCGGUGGAAACUGUCAAGCUUGAGUCCGGAAGAGGCGAGUGGAAUUCCUGGUGUAGCGGUGAAAUGCGCAGAUAUCAGGAGGAACACCAAUUGCGAAGGCAGCUCGCUGGGACGGUACUGACGCUGAGACGCGAAAGCGUGGGGAUCAAACAGG
rnacentral:rRNA from 1 species